UAUGAUUUAGUAUAAGAGGUACAUGGACUUUUGAUGUUUGGGGAAACAGUUUAAUUCUGUUGAUUAUAA
rnacentral:tRNA from 1 species